UGCAAGUCGAGCGGACAGAUGGGAGCUUGCUCCCUGAUGUUAGCGGCGGACGGGUGAGUAACACGUGGGUAACCUGCCUGUAAGACUGGGAUAACUCCGGGAAACCGGGGCUAAUACCGGAUGCUUGAUUGAACCGCAUGGUUCAAUUAUAAAAGGUGGCUUUUAGCUACCACUUACAGAUGGACCCGCGGCGCAUUAGCUAGUUGGUGAGGUAACGGCUCACCAAGGCAACGAUGCGUAGCCGACCUGAGAGGGUGAUCGGCCACACUGGGACUGAGACACGGCCCAGACUCCUACGGGAGGCAGCAGUAGGGAAUCUUCCGCAAUGGACGAAAGUCUGACGGAGCAACGCCGCGUGAGUGAUGAAGGUUUUCGGAUCGUAAAACUCUGUUGUUAGGGAAGAACAAGUACCGUUCGAAUAGGGCGGUACCUUGACGGUACCUAACCAGAAAGCCACGGCUAACUACGUGCCAGCAGCCGCGGUAAUACGUAGGUGGCAAGCGUUGUCCGGAAUUAUUGGGCGUAAAGCGCGCGCAGGCGGUUUCUUAAGUCUGAUGUGAAAGCCCCCGGCUCAACCGGGGAGGGUCAUUGGAAACUGGGGAACUUGAGUGCAGAAGAGGAGAGUGGAAUUCCACGUGUAGCGGUGAAAUGCGUAGAGAUGUGGAGGAACACCAGUGGCGAAGGCGACUCUCUGGUCUGUAACUGACGCUGAGGCGCGAAAGCGUGGGGAGCGAACAGGAUUAGAUACCCUGGUAGUCCACGCCGUAAACGAUGAGUGCUAAGUGUUAGAGGGUUUCCGUCCUUU
rnacentral:rRNA from 1 species